rfam:Clostridium kluyveri DSM 555, complete genome.
GGGCGCAUAGCUCAGCUGGGAGAGCACCUGCCUUACAAGCAGGGGGUCACAGGUUCGAUCCCUGUUGUGCCCA